rnacentral:rRNA from 1 species
CACGUAGGGCGCAAGCGUUGUCCGGAAUUAUUGGGCGUAAAGAGCUCGUAGGCGGUCUGUUGCGUCCGCUGUGAAAACCCGGGGCUUAACCCCUGGCUUGCAGUGGAUACGGACAGACUAGAGGUAGGUAGGGGAGAAUGGAAUUCCCGGUGUAGCGGUGAAAUGCGCAGAUAUCGGGAGGAACACCGGUGGCGAAGGCGGUUCUCUGGGCCUUACCUGACGCUGAGGAGCGAAAGCAUGGGGAGCAAACAGG